AGCAGCUGUUUCAGUAAAUCUAUCUGCUGUCUACCGGCUACAGGCACUCUUCCCGUACCUAGCCCUGCACGUAGCCGCACGGAGAUAAGCAGCAGAGACGAUCCAAGAUGGCGAAGCAGCAGGGUGUCGUCGCUUCCAUGGUUGCACUGGCAUUGCUGCUCGGAACAUUUGCAGCCAUCCCUACAGGGGUGCAAUCCAUCGGCGUGUGCUACGGCGUGAACGGCGGCGGCCUGCCCUCGGCCGGCGACGUCGUGCGGCUCUACCAGUCCAACGGCAUCAACCUCAUGCGCAUCUACUUCCCGGACGCCGACGCGCUGCGGGCGCUGAGCGGCACCAACAUCGGCCUCAUCAUGGACGUGCCCAACGAGAACCUCGGCUCCAUCGCCUCCGACCCCAACGCCGCCGCCGCCUGGGUCCGGGACAACGUCCAGGCCUUCCCGGCCGUCUCCUUCCGCUACAUCGCCGUGGGGAACGAGGUGGCCGGCGGGGACACCGCCAGCAUCCUCCCCGCCAUGCGCAACAUCGACGCCGCCCUCGCCGACGCCGGCCUCGGCGCCGUCAAGGUGUCCACGGCGGUGCAGAGCGGCGUCACGCAGGGGUUCCCGCCGUCGGCCGGCAGCUUCUCGCAGGGCCACAUGGGCCCCAUCGCGCAGUACCUGCAGAGCACCGGCGCGCCGCUCCUCGCAAACGUCUACCCCUACUUCUCCUACAUCGGCAACAAGGCCCAGAUCGACAUCAACUACGCGCUCUUCACCUCCCCCGGCACCGUCGUGCAGGACGGCGGCAACGCCUACCAGAACCUCUUCGACGCGCUCGUCGACACCUUCUACUCCGCGCUCGAGAACGCCGGCGCGGGGAACGUCGGCAUCAUCGUGUCGGAGAGCGGCUGGCCGUCGGCGGGGGGCGACGCGGCCACCGCGGCCAACGCGCAGACCUACAACCAGAACCUCAUCAACCAUGUCGGGCAGGGCACGCCCAAGCGCCCCGGGCCCAUCGAGACCUACAUAUUCGCCAUGUUCAACGAGGACCGGAAGCCCGGAGCAGAGACGGAGAAGCACUUCGGAUUGUUCAACCCGGACCAAUCGCCGGCAUACCCCAUCACCCCGCCGCCGCGAGCGCCGCGUGUACGCGCGCACGGUGUCUGCUACGGCGUCACGGGCGACAACCUGCCAUCGCGUGCGGAAGUGGUGCAGCUCUACAAGUCCCGCAACAUCCACGCCAUGCGCAUCUUCCGGCCGGACCAGGAGACCCUCGCCGCCAUGCGCGGCAGCGGCAUCGGCCUCAUCCUCGGCGUGGACGGCGUCGGCGCGGUCCGCGCCCUCGCCAACAGCGGCGCCGCCGCCAUCGUCUGAGUCCACGACAACGUGCGGGCCUACUACCCGGACGUCCUCAUCCGGUACAUCGCCGUCGGCAACGAGGUCCCCGCCGGCGACGCGGCGCUCGUCGUCCUCCCGGCCAUGCGGAACGUGCACGCCGCCCUCGUGGCGGCCGGCCUCUCCAGCAGCAUCAAGGUGUCCACGGCGGUCAGAAUGGACGUGAUCGCCGACUCCUACCUGCCCCCGUCGCGCGGCGUCUUCAGCCACGACGUGCAGCGGCACAUGGUGGCCGUCGCGCGGUUCCUGGCCGACACCGGCGCGCCGCUGCUGGCGAACGUGUACCCCUACUUCGCCCACAGGGACAACCCGCGCGACAUCAGCCUCAGCUACGCGGCGUUCCGGCCGGGCACCACCGUGAGGGACAGCGGCACCGGGCUGACGUACACGAACCUGUUGGACGCCAUGGUGGACGCCAUCUACGCGGCGCUGGAGAAAGCCGGGGCGCCGAACGUCAGGGUCGUCGUGUCGGAGACCGGGUGACCGUCCGGCGGGUUCGCGGCGACCGUGGUCCGUGGACAACGCGCGCAGGUACAACCAGGCCGCCAUCGACCACGUCCGGCGGGGCACGCCCAAGAGGCCCGGGGUGCUGGAGACGUACGUGUUCGCCAUGUUCAACGAGAACCAGAAGCCGGGGGAUCGAACGGAGAAAAACUUUGGGCUCUUCUCUACCCGGACAUGCAGCCUGUCUACCCGAUCACCUUCCCAAAUUAA